rnacentral:ncRNA from 1 species
AAAACAGCGAUGAUUGGGAAAAAGUCUGAUGAAGGCCAUGGCAGAGAGCCGGCGGAUGGUGCAAGCCGGUAUGGAGCAUAAGGCGAACUCUCCCAUGAGCACCGGAGCGAAGAAAGUAGUGAAGGCGGCAGUCCCCGUUACGGACAGAAAAGAAAGUACAAUGCAGGGUGGUACCGCAGCUAUGCCCCUGUCCCAAAACGGGACAGGGGCUUUUUGUAUCAUCAUCCGUACUUUCUAUGAAGAGAUAAAUCAGGGUGGUACCGCGGUUUCCCCGCCCCUGGU